AUUUAUAACGGGCAUCUGAUGAGCAAGUUGCAUUGCUUUCUCUAAAUUACCUUACCUAAUGUCAAACUAUCAAAAGGACACAACUUGUCGUCACACAAAUCUCUUGAAAGGGAUACAGGGAUACAAAAUUUCAUCGUAGAGAAAUACGGCUUUCAUAACUUUCACUCUUCUAAAAUAUCAAACAGCAAUCACAAUUUUAAAAAAAGAAAAACUCGUCUUUUACUUUCUUUGCACUAUCCAAUCUACUACGUGUCGUGAUGAUUGAUUGAUCUUCCUCCAUGAAGCAAAUGGAGCUCCUCUAGCUUCUUCUUUCCUAGGUGUCUUUUGAAUCCACGGAGUCCGAGUCAUCUUUGCAGUGUACUACGCUAUACUUCACUUUGCCAUUACUUAUGAAAUUACAUAUUGGGGGUGGGUAAUCAAGACACCAGACACUCCCUAGCGGUGGCGUUCCUUAACAGGUUUAAAAAUAAAACUCGUUCUGGUUUCCCCAUUCUCAUUAUUUAAAUUUAGCAUGAUAUUUUGUAACAAACACACUAUUUUAAAAAACUGCACGGAUACACUAUUCUAAAAAUUACACAUCGUUACAAUCUUUACGGUAUUUUUCAUUCCAUUGCAUUAGUGUUACAUUACGGUAGUAUAUCUUAUUUAACUUUAUGUAUUAUCCUUAGACAUUACCGAACUUCGCUACUUUGCCUUAUUCGUUCUCUUCGAUUCUUCUUUC